GGGAUAAAGGUUUAGUUGAGUUGAAUUUUUAACAAAAAAAAUGUAUAUUAUUAAGGUUAUGUUUAAAACUUGUAUUUCUAACUUAUAAUUUAUUUUUUAAUAAAUAAAUUUAUAUUAUAUAUUAAUAAAUUAAAAUUAAAAAAAUUACACAAGAGAAAACUCGUCCGCUCCGCACCUUAGUGGGAAAUGCCCCGUCUCGACCCUGAGUUCUUGUAAGGCAAGACGGGGAGGGGUGAUCUUGCUCCCGACCCAUAUCGUUGUCAUUCCUACUCUUCAUUGUGUGUUGGAAAAAUUAUUCAAUGUAACAAUUAACUUAAAAUAAAAUAAUAAAAGAAAUUUUACUCAUGCAAAAUUUGGGAUUAUUUUAAAUUCGUAAUAUAAAAAUUGAAUACAAACUUUUCUACUCGAUAAGAGUGCUCGUUAUUUUUAAGAUUUCGCAGAUAAAUAAAUGAAAAUUUAGUGAGAUUUUCAAUUGGAAUAACAUAUAAAGUUUCAGGUUAAUUUGAGUAUAGUUCAGGCUGCCAGCUAGGUGCAAUAAUUCCUGAAAUUUACAUCAUACCAAAAAUUACAUCCAAAAUGCUUAUGACUGGUUCACGUUCACAUCAUGUGGACUUUAGAAUGGAAAAGCUAGACAUGAGAUUACAAGGUAGCCAGGCCAAGUCUGUGGGCACCAUGUUAUCAGUUGCAGGAGCCUUAAUUGUGACUCUAUACAAAGGGCAGCCGAUCACAGAUGUUCCAUCACAAAAUAGCUCAAUUGACGAGUCCCUGCAAGUGCUCCCAUCAAACUGGGUUAUUGGAGGCAUUCUCUGUGCAGCUGGUGCAUUGGGCAUAUCACUAGUAUACGUUAUCCAGGUUACUUACCAAAUCAGCAGCCUUUUUAUAUGCUAUUAUAACCUGCAUUAAUUUCUUGCUAUAAACCUAGCCUGGAAUUGAUAAACUCAUGCUGGAAUAUAUAACCCAGACUUGGAUUCUUAAGGACUACCCUUCAGAGUUGAUGAUAACAGUCAUAUGUUGCCUCUAUGUGACCGUGUUAUCUGUUCCAGUCUCUCUAAUUGCAGAGAAAGACCCAAAUGCUUGGAUACUAAAGCCUGAUGUUGAGUUGAUAGCUAUUGGGUGCUCAGUACGCAUAUACAAACACAUAUUUCUAGUUUGUCACUGUUUAAGCAGGGUCUUUGUUAAAAUUUCGUAGUAAUUUGAUGUUCCGCUAAAUUCUGUAGGCAAUUUUUGCAGUAUCACUUCGCAGUGUAGUUCAUGCAUGGGCUUGUGGCAAGAAAGGGCCUCUAUACACUGCCAUGUUUAAGCCACUUGGGAUGAUCAUUGCAACAUUCUUGGGUGUUUCUUUUCUUGGGGAUACUCUUUAUAUUGGAAGUGUCAUUGGAGGGAUUAUUAUUGCCCUUGGAUUUUAUACAGUGAUAUGGGGAAAAGCCCAAGAAGAAGAAAAAAUGGUUGAAGAGAAAGGAAAUUCUAACUUUGCGUCAUGCUCUACUAAAGCCCCACUUUUGCAAAACAGAAGUGUGGAUGUGUAGUAUUCUUGCAUUUUACCCAAACGACUUUUGAGUAUAUAUUUGGUUACUGGCUGUGUAUAUUUCUGGGCAAAUUAAUGUAUUUUUAAUUACAAUUUUGGUAUCAAGAUCAGUGGUGGAUCUAGUUUGAUGAUUCUACUUUCACUUCAAAUUAUUGGAUUGAGCAAUGACAGCGUCAUGUAUUGUCCGGCAAAAGAACUUAAGGAAACUUCGUCAAGCAAGAUGGAUAUCCAAGGUUUGUGGUAACUCGACUUGUCAUGACAGUCAAUGCUUCCUUGUUCUUGCUGGACUUUCAACCUCUUCC
rnacentral:misc_RNA from 1 species